CGGAGUAUGGCGCAGCCUGGUAGCGCGUCCGUCUGGGGGACGGAAGGUCGUGGGUUCGAACCCCGCUACUCCGA
rnacentral:tRNA from 1 species